rnacentral:lncRNA from 1 species
CUGAGUUUGGAUUUAUUUAAACCCCAGGUGAUACUAGAUUCAUGCUUCUAAGGUUUUCAAUUAUCCUUUUCUUUUCCCAUAGGUUCUCCUCCUUUGUCUUUCACCUUAGAGUUUCUUUUUUUAUGAGAGAAAAUGGCUUCUGGAGGCUCCAACUUUAUCCCACUGGAAUUCCAAUUCGAGCUAACAGAGAGGGAUGUGGUAUUGCU